AAAAAAAAGUAAAGGACUAAAUUGUAAAGUUUAGUCACAUUUUGUAUCGAGUACUUAUCUAGCCACUCGGUGAUCGAAGGAAAAGUCGGAGGCCGAUCACACUAUCAAAGAAAUAACUCGGUAUAAUUAGAUGUUUUGUUUUGUGUAUGGCAUGUAUAGAAACUUAGCUACUUUUGGCAUAAUAUGAACAAUGAAUGAUGUGUAAAUACUUGCUAGUGAUUAGCUAAUAAAAAUGGCCGAUGAUAUGCAUGUUUAUUAA